rnacentral:rRNA from 1 species
GACGAACGCUGGCGGCGUGCUUAACACAUGCAAGUCGAGCGGUAAGGCCCCUUCGGGGGUACACGAGCGGCGAACGGGUGAGUAACACGUGGGUGACCUGCCCUCAGCUCUGGGAUAAGCCUGGGAAACCGGGGUCUAAUACUGGAUAUGACUCCAUGACGCAUGUUGUGGGGUGGAAAGCCUUGUGCGGCUGAGGAUGGGCCCGCGGCCUAUCAGCUUGUUGGGUGGGGGAUGGCCUACCAAGGCGACGACGGGUAGCCGGCCUGAGAGGGCGGACCGGCCACACUGGGACUGAGACACGGCCCAGACUCCUACGGGAGGCAGCAGUGGGGAAUCUUGCGCAAUGGGCGAAAGCCUGACGCAGCGACG